GCCAGGUAUGAUAGCACAUGCCUGUGGUCUCAGCUACAUGGGAGGCUGAGGCAGGAGGAUCACUUCAGCCCAGGAGUUCUGGACUGUAGUUCACUAUGCCAACCGGGUAUUCACACUAGGUUCGACGUCAGUAUGGUGACCUUCUGGGAGCAGGGAAACUCCGGGUUGCCCAAGAAAGGGCGAAUCGGUUCAGGUCAGAAACAGAACAGUCAAAGCUCCCAUGCUGCUCGGCAAUGGCAUUCUGCCUGUGAAUAGCCACUGCACUCCACCUGGACAACACAGCAAGACCUCGCCUCUA
ensembl:misc_RNA Metazoa_SRP Metazoan signal recognition particle RNA